CGGCGGACGGGUGAGUAACACGUGGAUAACCUACCUAUAAGACUGGGAUAACUUCGGGAAACCGGAGCUAAUACCGGAUAAUAUAUUGAACCGCAUGGUUCAAUAGUGAAAGACGGUUUUGAUGUCACUUAUAGAUGGAUCCGCGCCGCAUUAGCUAGUUGGUAAGGUAACGGCUUACCAAGGCAACGAUGCGUAGCCGACCUGAGAGGGUGAUCGGCCACACUGGAACUGAGACACGGUCCAG
rnacentral:rRNA from 1 species